rnacentral:rRNA from 1 species
UACGAAGGGUGCAAACGUUGCUCGGAAUUAUUGGGCGUAAAGCGCACGUAGGCGGCUUUGCAAGUCGGAUGUGAAAUCCCUCGGCUUAACCAAGGAAGUGCAUCCGAAACUGCAGAGCUUGAGUACUUAAGAGGAUCGCGGAAUUCCCGGUGUAGAGGUGAAAUUCGUAGAUAUCGGGAGGAACACCAGUGGCGAAGGCGGCGAUCUGGGAAGGUACUGACGCUGAGGUGCGAAAGCGUGGGGAGCAAACAGG